rnacentral:rRNA from 1 species
UACGUAGGGGGCUAGCGUUGUCCGGAAUCAUUGGGCGUAAAGAGCGUGUAGGCGGUCUGGUAAGUCCGCUGUGAAAGCCGGGGGCUCAACCCUCGGAUGCCGGUGGAUACUGUCGGGCUUGAGUACGGAAGAGGCGAGUGGAAUUCCUGGUGUAGCGGUGAAAUGCGCAGAUAUCAGGAGGAACACCAAUGGCGAAGGCAGCUCGCUGGGACGUUACUGACGCUGAGACGCGAAAGCGUGGGGAGCAAACAGG